UCACUUCCAUGUGUUUUACUUUCUACCUCUACGACUCCCCAACAACAACCAGCAAAACUAGUUACUUGCAAGAGAGUGGCCCUCAAACAAUUUUAGUAGACCAUAUCAAUUUAAGUAUAUGAGCAACACAAUCUAGUUGCCAACCUCCUAUAUAUUUACAGACAAUGUUCUGGCUCCAGUGAUUCCUUGGACAUUACACAGAAGGCAAGGAGUUCCCUUACUUCGAUUUGGUCCAUUGAAGCCCAUUAAGUAAGUAAUGGUGUUUACCUUUGCUGAGACCAUUAUUUCAUUUAUACUACUAUAUGAAACUGAAUGUAACAACAUGAUAAACACAGUUCACCUGUUUUUACUGC